CGGGGAGUGGCGCAGUUGGUAGCGUGCCGGCCGGGGGUUCAAGUCCCCCCUCCCCGACAA
rnacentral:tRNA from 1 species